ACAGCCACGUCCUGAUGCCUGAAGGUAAAGCUGGCAUGAAGAGGCAGGGAAGGAAGGAACAAUCAGCUAAUGGGAGGAUUAUCAGCCUGGCUCUUCUUUAAAUAAGUGAAGCAAGUGUGACCUUGGAGUCAGAGGGAAUGGAUGACAGGCUGAUAUUAGAACCUGGACAUUGUGCUUCUACAGUAUGUUGUUUACCUGAACCUCUUGAGCCAACAGGACACAAACUCUUUCAGUUGUCAGAAUCAAAGACUUCAGCCUGCUUUGUUCCUGUGUGCUGAAUCGCUGCCUGCCUACCUGUUUGCCUGCCAACCUGCCUGCCAAUCUGUCCGCCCUGAACCGAGCUCUAGGACGUCAUCGUCGGACCCCUGCUGAGUCUCUGAUGCUGAUGGUCUGAGUUCUCUGCUUCCUCCCCAACCCUCUGGUUUUCCUCAAAGCACAUUGAAAAUUAAACCUGCCUGUGUUCUUAUCAUC